rnacentral:misc_RNA from 1 species
CUUGCAGCGACAGAUAUGCCAAGCAUAUAUGAAAUCUUUGAAGAUGUGAAAUUUUAUUUCCAGUAAGAUGGGGCACCCCCACACUAUCAUGGCAAUGUAAAAAGCCUACUUCGAUGAGAUUUUGCCAAACAUAUCGAUUGGAUGAAGAGACUCAGAGUCUCCACAUUCACACCUCUGGACUUCUUUUAUGGGGACACUUCAGGGAUAAAGUUUAUGGGCAUAAGACUGCCGAAGGUCGACGAAUCUAAGGUAACUAUUGAAAGAGAAAGUUCAUAAAUAGCGGACGAAAUGUUUCCUGAUGUUUUCGACGCCAUUGCUUCGCGUUAUUAGCAGUGCCUCUACAAGAACGGUCAUCAGUUUGAAAACAGGCGUUCAUGGAAAAAAGAUUUUAUGAAAUGUAAUUUUUUUCAAUCUACAGAGAAAGAAAAAGAAGAAAAAGGAGAACAACAACAGCAUGAAGCGUUUACUAUUUGCCUUGGUCUCACUAACCAUUCUCAAUUCUACCCAAAGUAAUAAAAUAGACUUCUAUCCAGCAAUGAGAGAUGAAAUGGCUAAUCUUUACAAGAAAACCCACCCUUGGUCAUACAUCCCGUGGAACAUCAUCGAUUUACCUUUUCUCUACAAGGAACCGCCGCAGAAAACGUUACCUGAUUUUUCAAAUGAUGAAAUAUAUUUCGAUGUUGGUCUCGGCAAAAGAGGUUUACCUUUCUCUCUUGACAUUGCAAAGAGACGUGAAAAACCGCUUUUGACUAAAGGAUUGCUUAUAAAGAAACUAGAAUUGCUUGCACAAAGAGCUCACCACCUCGAACUUCCUGAAGAUAAUGAUAAGAGAAGACAAAGUCUUGCACAUUCAUAGGAAAAUAUUUCGAAAGGAAAAUAGAAAAAAAAAAAAACUUUGAUAUUUAACAAAAAAAAAAAAGAUAACGAUUUAAAUGUAUUGCUAGUAACGUGUGAAAAAUAAGUUAAUAUGUUUUUGGGAAGUUGAACUAUAAAUUAAGUUUUGUAAAUAAAUGAUAAACUAACUAAACAACCAUUAUCGCACUUUAUUGAAAUGAGAGACGGAAACAGGGUUGCUGUUGUUGUUGUAGUUGUUAUUUUUGUUAUAUAAA